CUUUACAUGUUUUUAACACCUGUUUGCAGAAUCCCAUUUACAAGGUUUCAAAACCGGGAAACAAUGAAAUACACUGUUAGAACAGUGCCAGAUUUGAAACUCUGCAAAUGCGCUGGUGAUAUUGUUUGAACUUUGAAAAUGUGUUGGUGAAAAUGAUGAAGAUAAAAUAGAACACAAAUCAUGUUUACAGAUGUUUGAAUUUUAGUGUAUAACCCUUUGAAACUUUUUUUUUCAGGUUGGAAUUAUGGCAGGAAACUGGCUCCAUAUCAUUGCGCUCUCGAAAUGCAUUUUGGGUCCGUCCGUUCAGACCUGUCCAUGGUUCAGAGUCGCACUCGCGACGCUCAUCCGUCGAAGGACGCAUGGUGUGUGGAACAAGCGUACAUAGGCCUACCUGAUCGCGUUCAUUUGUUCGCCUCCCUCCACCUCCCUCUCUCUCUGGUGCAUAUUUAAGCCACUUCUUAAGUGUCCCUGAAAAAACAAUAUGGGUGGUCCCUGGCAGCUGUUUUUGGAGUGCAGCUGAAAGAAAGAAAGAAACAAACCCGGUCAAGAAUUACCAACAUGGCGACGAGGCAGCUUGAUGGAUGAAGCGGCAGCUUCUGGUGCUACCGGCCUCACCAUCUCUCUCCUAAGCGCCCUCACUUCACUCCCCAGCUAACCAAGACCCUCACGUCACCAUGCACGUCCCACGCUGCACCUGGAGGAAGUUGGUGCGCGACUGCCUUCUGGAGGCGGUUAUGAUCGUAAGAACUAGGAGGCCAGAAACAAUUCCAUGACUCCCCUGCCUCCUCCAACCAGCUGCUUGGCACUAUGGUAGUGCUCCUAUCUUUGAAUUCGACGACCUUCCACACCUGUGCCAUCUGUCAAUGAGAAGACAAGGAAUUAGGAUUGGUGAAGAAGAGGGAUGGCAACAUAAUGGUCUUGGUCUGUGAAAAAGCACACAUUUUCUGCUGACAUCCCCAAGGAGCUCAACCUCAAGAUCAUCUACCAACGUAUGGACCUGAAAACAGCCUAUUCGAGAGGAGGGGCAGGGAUAUGUGAAAUGGGAUUCCUUGUACCCAAAUCGUCUGUAGAUGAUGAAGACUGAACCAGAGGAUAGCACAAUGUUUUGGACCAGUCCAAUAUCCUGUCCUACUGCUAUGCAGUUGUUCCCAGUGUUUGUUGACAGGCAGAAAUCUGUUGUUACUACCUUUCUGUACUGUUUGGCAGUACUGAAUUGCAGAGGCAAAGGACCAUCCUGGUGCAUUUCGUACAAAAGGGGCUGCUUACUUGGAGGUGGAGUAACAGUUUGAGGCACCUCUGACAGUCUCUUGACUACCUGUUGUAAUGGUAGUUGAGGCUUUCGCAUUUUUUUUUUUACUUUUCCAUGGAAGUUUUCAUAAGGAAAUGCAGAGACACGGUCAAGGGCACCAAACUGUUUGUACACAUCAGCUAGAUGUAUCACCUGAUGAACUGUAAAUACAAUUUCUCCUUGACCAUAUAAAUCUCCAAAGCUUUUAACAAAUGCUGUUAGGACUCGAUUGGCAAAAUCAAUCAUGGGUGCAGAGAGGUUGGGGCUGAGUAAUAAGAACACACCCAUGGAAAACAACAGGAAGUUCUCAAAAAUCUCUUCUGGUAGAUUGUGCUUUAGGACCACAGGUCCACUGUAAAUCAUGAACUGCCUUAGUUCUGUAGCCUUCCAUCUUUCGAUCUCUGUCAGCUCUCGUGGUUUUCGGGCAAAUUCAGAUGGAAUAUGGGGACGGAGAGCAAUCAGUUUAGAUGAUAUAGCUGAGAUGACAUUAGAUGGCUGUCUUAUGGCCAGGUUCUUCCUUCAUCCAGAAAAGAAUGAGUUUUUUUGUUACACCCAAACAGCAGAGGUGCAUGUAAUCAAUGGGAAACUGGGUUACCAUCUGAACAAUGCCAGUAAGGGGACUAGGUCGCAGGUGGUGAUCUGUGUCUGACAUUAAAG
ensembl:lncRNA